AACGAACGCUGGCGGCAUGCCUAACACAUGCCAGUCGAACGAGACCUUCGAGUCUAGUGGCGCACGGGUGCGUAACGCGUGGGAACCUGCCCUUAGGUUCGGAAUAACUCCCCGAAAGGGGUGCUAAUACUGGAUAAUGUCUUCGGACCAAAGAUUUAUCGCCUUUGGAUGGGCCCGCGUUGGAUUAGCUAGUUGGUAGGGUAAAAGCCUACCAAGGCGACGAUCCAUAGCUGGUCUGAGAGGAUGAUCAGCCACACUGGGACUGAGACACGGCCCAGACUCCUACGGGAGGCAGCAGUGGGGAAUAUUGGACAAUGGGCGAAAGCCUGAUCCAGCAAUGCCGCGUGAGUGAUGAAGGCCUUAGGGUUGUAAAGCUCUUUUACCCGGGAUGAUAAUGACAGUACCGGGAGAAUAAGCUCCGGCUAACUCCGUG
rnacentral:rRNA from 1 species